rnacentral:rRNA from 1 species
UACGUAGGGGGCAAGCGUUGUCCGGAAUUAUUGGGCGUAAAGCGCGCGUAGGCGGCCCUUUAAGUCUCGUGUUUAAACCCGGAGCUCAACUUCGGGUCGCACGGGAAACUGGGGGGCUUGAGUGCAGGAGAGGGAAGCGGAAUUCCACGUGUAGCGGUGAAAUGCGUAGAGAUGUGGAGGAACACCAGUGGCGAAGGCGGCUUCCUGGUCUGUAACUGACGCUGAGGCGCGAAAGCGUGGGGAGCAAACAGGAUUAGAAACCCCCGUAGUCC